rnacentral:rRNA from 1 species
GAGUUUGAUCCUGGUUCAGAACGAACGCUGGCGGCAGGCUUAACACAUGCAAGUCGAACGUGAUUCAGAGCUUGCUCUGAUGAAAGUGGCGCACGGGUGAGUAACGCGUGGAUAACUUGCCCUGGUAUCUGGGAUAACAUCUCGAAAGGGGUGCUAAUACCGGAUAAGCCUCCGGGAUCUUCGGAUUCUGCAGGAAAAGAAGGCCUCUAUUUAUAAGCUUUCGUAUCAGGAUGGGUCCGCGUACCAUUAGCUAGUUGGUGGGGUAAUGGCCUACCAAGGCGACGAUGGUUAGCUGGUCUGAGAGGAUGAUCAGCCACACUAGAACUGAGACACGGUCCAGACUCCUACGGGAGGCAGCAGUGGGGAAUUUUGCGCAAUGGGGGAAACCCUGACGCGGCAACGCCGCGUGAGUGAUGAAGGCUUUCGGGUCGUAAAGCUCUGUCAGAGGGGAAGAAAUGGAGCUGGCUAAUAUCCAGUUUUCUUGACGGUACCCUCAAAGGAAGCACCGGCUAACUCCGUGCCAGCAGCCGCGGUAAUACGGAGGGUGCAAGCGUUGUUCGGAUUUAUUGGGCGUAAAGCGCGUGUAGGCGGUUUCUUAAGUCUGAUGUGAAAGCCCUGGGCUCAACCCAGGAAGAGCAUUGGAUACUGGGAGACUU